GGCAGAGAGACAGCGGGAGAGAGAGAUGGAGAGUGGCUGGGUGGGUUCGGGGGAGGUGAAGAGAAGAAUAGUGACAGAGGGAGAAAAUAGCCUCAUCAACAUAUCCUGAGAGGAGGAGAAGAAGAGGAGAGGAGGAGGAGAAGAGGAGGGCUUUGAUCAAUGUUUUCCUGGAGUCAGUGGUCAACUUCCUGAUCCUCUCAGCCCAGGGCCGACACCGGAUGCAGCUCGUAUUUUCUUCUUUCAACGCCACGCCACACACGAGGACCCAGCCUGCUUUUUGAAGUGCACUAGGUGGUGGGGGCCCCGUGUCUGUGGGCCAGGAAUCCUGUCUCCCAGGACUCCGCUUUUCCUCCGGAGGACAUUCCGAUCGGAAUCGCUGUCGGUGGGAAUCGGAGGAGAGCCGGCGGUCCAAGUGUCAUCCAGGAAAUCCCCUAGACUCACAUUCCAGCCCCUCCCAGAAGAUACGUCUCAGGUUCCACAGAGCGGCCCCAGCCGGCCCUUUUCCCAUCGGAGAGCGCUUGACCGGCUCGAGAUUCCACCCGAUCCUUGCUCCAGCUGACCCGAGGAAGACCCAGCAGGAGCCCACUGAGGCCUUCUCAACUUUUAUUUUAAUGAGCAAUAGAACACUGCAGUUGAAGGAGUCGUCGUGAAGAUCUUCACCCGCCUGUCCUGUCCGGAGUCCAACAAUCACAGCAGCCUUCCCAGUGAACUGAAAUUCGUGAAGACCUUCUGCUUCUGCUCUGAUUCCUGCUGCUCUAACUGCUAUUUCUGCUGGGGCUUCUGUUACCGCUUGGCUGCGUCCGCUGUUCAGUCAGUCCAUCGAUCAAUGGUAUUUAUUGAACACUUGGGAGAGCACCGUACUAAGCGCUUGGGAGAGAACAACAAAACCGUUGCUGUUGGUUCUGUUGCUGCUUCUGCCGCUGUCGUGCAUUCAUUUAUUCGAUUGUAUUUAUUGAGCAGUUACUGUGCGCAGAGUGGGACAGGGACUGUGUCCAA